GCCCUAGUGGCGUAGUGGUUACGUGCUAUGGCUGCUAACCAAAGGGAUGGCAGUUCAAAUCUGCCAGGAGCU
rfam:Loxodonta africana unplaced genomic scaffold scaffold_119, whole genome shotgun sequence.